UUAGAUACUCCGUUACACUAGGAGGCAGAACUCAAUCUCUUUUUUUUUUUCAAAACCCUAAACCCUUCCCUGCCGCUUCCUGUCUGUUACAUAUAACUCAGUUAUAUUACUACUCCAUCUUAUUCAUAUUAGAUGAGGUACUUUCCUUUUUAGUCUGUUCCAAAACAAAUGACACAUUUCUAAAUUUGAAAAUAAUUUUACUUUAGACUCUUCAUUUUACCCAUUUACCCUUAACGAGAAACUUUUAUAGUCACAUAAAUGUCAUGGCCCCACAAACAUUUUACCCCUUAAGCUUUUAAAAUCACAAAUUUCAAAAGUCUUCUUCUUUUUUCUUAAACUCCGUGCCGAGUCAAACUACCUCAUCAACUGAGGGAGUAGUAUAUUAGUUGCACUAAACCCUGGGGUUAUUUUACAAAAGAAAUCGUUCGCUUCAAGCACAAAAAUAGCAUAGGGCAGAUCUACCCAACAAAAUCACUAUCACUAUUCUCGCAAAAUUACCAGUGAGAUCUCUUUUAAGAUUCAAAAUUGUUUCACAACAAUGGAUUUCUUGGAUUUCACAUCCUGAAUCCGAGCUCUCAAAACAACGACAAGGAAGAGCAGGAGCAAUUUUGGAUAGCGGACACUCGUUUCACUUGAUAAAUCAACCCUCUGAAGAAGAAAAAGAUGAAUCCAAGAAGGUAAUAGUUGACGUCCAAACUCUUGAGAAUCCUUUAUUGGAAAGCCGUAUUUACAAGAAUAAGUAUUUAGAGCCAUGUCUAAGAUUGUUGGGUUCUGUUGUGGAACGGGAUAGUUCAGAAAAUGAAAUUGGGAAACUUGGUUACUGAUCGGAAAAGAGGCUAAUCGCAAAAUAGUUUAGUAUAUUAGCACUUAAGUCCCUUGAGUUUUAUUUGUUUAGAGUUUUAUCCUAGUAGUGUAGCUUUCAUCUUUAAAAGACAUGUGUCCAUUCUUAUCCCUUUGUAUCUGUUAGCAUAGUACCACCUCUUUUCAUUUCUCAUUGGUUGUCCAGGUGGUCACAACUGUAGGACCUUUACCUUAUUUAGCCCAGCAGCAUCCUUGUAAAAAUCCAUUGAAGAAUGAAAAAUCUUAUUUAAUAUUUUUACUUAAAUUCUGCAAAUUUUCCUUUUAUGUUCUUUCUUAGCUAAAUCACUACAAUUGGUAUCUAGAGCCAGGCUUUCCCAGUGACUUUCUGGUAAGUCAUGGUGGAGUCACACAAGGAUAAAGCUCCCGAUGAUGGUUGGAAAAAAAUUGAAAAUCAGCUCCAAGUAUAUAUUAAUGAAUCUCAAAAACGGAUGGAAAUGCUUGAACAGAAUCAAGCUUGUUUACAUGCAGAGGCCACAAAAAGACAAGUAGAGAACAAUCGUAGACUUGACACUUUGUUGGGCCGUCUAGAGAUAGAACAAAGAUCGGAAUCAAUGGCUUUAGGGAGAUCCGUUGCAGCUUUGUCCAUGGGUGAUUCAACAAUAGAAAGAGGAGAAGCUUCGGUAACUGGAAUGCACAGACCCUCUCUUUCACCAAUGAGACCAAAUUUUUCACAAACGGGAAGGAAUUUGUCUCUAGCUGCCGCUCCCUUCAAUCCUAUGGUUUCUGCUACGACACCCAUUACACAAUUUGGGCCUUCAACAUUUUAUAGUUCAGGACCUUCUUUGUACCCUCCAACACCACUUUCACUCACUCAACCACCAAGAACUACCAGUUUUUCAUCUAUACCAAUUUCUUUGGCUAACCCUGUUUUUAACACAAGUAUUCCAAUGAACAUCACUCAAGUUAACUCCUCCUCAACCCAAAUACCUGUCACCACUACCCUCCUACCACCUCUAGCUUAUCAGGCCAUUAUGAAUAGUUCAUUGGUGCAACCCAAUAGUCAACAUAAUUUACAGCCCACUACCCAAAUUUUCAGCCCUUUUAAAAGCCCAAAAGUUAAGCUAAGUUUUCCUAAUUUUGACUAUGACAACCCGCGAGGUUGGAUAAGACGAUGUGAGAAGCACUUUGAACUGUAUCAAAUUGAGGCUACUGAAAAAAUGAGUUAUGUGGCUUUCCAUGUCAAAGAAAAGAUCGAUAUGUGGUUUGAUGUGUAUAUGAUGGAACAUGGGGGGGGUUGUAACAUGGGAAACUUUUUGUUUGAAUGUUUGCCGAAGGUAUGGUAACAUUAGACCUUUGGACAUUGUGGUUGAAUUUAAUAGGCUACAACAACGGACAGAUGUUGAAGGCUAUUUUAACAAGUUUGAAGACCUACGUUUUUACUUGUUAUUAAUUAAUCCUACUUUUAAUGAAGCCUAUUUUGUGUAUUGUUUUAUUGGAGGAUUAAAACCUGAUUUGGAGUCUAUGGUAAGAGUAUCUAAUCCUCAGACAAUGAUAGAUGCUUUAGAAGUGGCCAAAUUACAUGAAAAGACCUUGACAGUCAUCUACAAAAAUAUUCAACCACCAAAGAUUUCCAUAACUCAGCCCAAAAUAACUUUUCCCCCAAUCCCCAAAGCAAUCAUUGGCCUAAGCCCAAAAAACUUACCACUCAUUGUAACCCGUAAUCCAGCAACUUCACAAAAUAACCCUUCCUUGGAAACAUUACGUGAAAAGAAGUUGUGUUACAAGUGUCACGACAAAUAUUUUCCUGGGCAUCAAUGCAAGGUGAAAGCCCUUAAUUCUAUAGAGAGUACUGAAGAAACAACAAUAUUUGAGGAAGGGGAAAGUUCUGGAGUUAUGGAGGAACAAAAAUUUGAAGUAAAUGAUGAAGAGGCUGUGGUAAAUGCAAUGGAGGAAUGCGAAGAAGAAGCUUGGAUUAACAUGUUGGAUGGCCCAGAUAGAGGCCCAAACACCAUUAAGAUUCCAGGAAUACUGCAAAAUGAACCCAUAAUUGUGUUGGUGGACUCGGAGGCAACACAUAGUUUCUUAGACCCCCAACUGGCAGAAAAAUUGAAACUAGUCAUGGAUCUAAUGGUUAGGCCCAUGAAGGUUAGGGUAGCCAAUGGAGGGAUUAUGUGGAGUAAGAUUUCUUGCCCUAACGUAAUCUGGCAAAUGCAAGGUGAAGUCUUCAAAUUUGAUUUGUGAUUAAUGAAGGUUGGAGGUUGUGAUAUGGUGUUAGGAAUGGAUUGGAUUGACAUGAUAGCACCCAUGGCUAUAAAUACUAAGCCUCAUAGUGUGUCUUUCAUGAAAGGUAGUCGAAUGGUGACAUUGGUUGGAUAUCCAGAUUCACAAUCCAUGGCUAAAAUGGAUUCAAGGUUAGUUUAUGGGAUGCUUAACAGAGCUGGUUGUAAUUGGGUGGCUCAAACAUGUUACUUGGAAUCAGUAGAACCAAAUGAAGAAUUGGUUCCAGCUCUUGUGAAAGACAUUUUGUCUAAGUUUACUGAUGUUUUUAAUGAGCCUACUGCAUUACCUCCGGCUCGAUCGUGUGACAAUGCCAUUGAGUUAGUUCCUGGUGCAAGGCCUAUUAAUUAGAGGCCCUACAGGUAUUCACAUGAGCAGAAAGACGCCAUUGAGAGAAUCAUCUAAGAAAUGUUGGAGGCAAAAACAGUAACUACCAGUACUUCUCCUUUUUGUUCACCUGUGAUUCUUCUCAAGAAGAAAGAUUCAACAUGGAGAUUAUGUGUAGAUUAUCGGAGGCUUAAUGACAUUACCAUUAAAAAAAGGUAUCUCAUUCCUGUAGUAGAUGAUUUACUUGAUGAGAUUAAUGGCGCUCAUUAUUUUUCUAAGUUGGAUCUACGUUCAGGUUACCAUCAGAUACGCAUGAACGCGGGUCAUGAACACAAGACGGCAUUCAAAACUCAUCAUGGGCUGUGGGAAUUUACCGUGAUACCGUUUGGGCUUAUAAAUGCGUUGGCGACCUUUCAAGCACUCAUGCACCAAAUUUUUGUGCCUCACUUAAGGAAGUUCGUCAUGGUUUUCUUUGAUGAUAUUUUGGUUUAUAGUGCGUUGUUCAAAGAGCACUUGGACCAUCUAAGAGAGGUUUUUGGACUGUUAGCUAAACAUUAGUUGUUUGCCAAAACGGUCUAAAUGCAGUUUUGCCCAAACUCGAGUGGAAGACUUGGGUCAUGUCAUCACAAAGGAUAGGGUCAGAACUGACAGUGCAAAAAUAGAGGCCAAGGUGAAUUGGCCUAAGCCCAAUUGCAUCAAAGGGUUGCGAGGUUUUUUGGGAUUAACGGGUUAUUACCACAAGUUCAUUCAGAACUAUGCAGUAAUCAGUAAACCAUUAACCAUGUUACUAAAGAAAGGGGUUUUUGUGUGGAAUGAGGGAACAACACAUGCGUUUGAGGCUUUGAAGUUAGCUAUGACCCAAGCACCAUUAUUAGCAUUACCCGACUUUAAGUUACCAUUUGUGGUUGAAGUAGAUGCUAGUGGUCUGGAAGUAGGAGUUGUUCUAUCUCAAAACAACAAGUCAAUUACUUUCAUGAGUUAGGCUUUGUGUCAAAAACACCUGGGAUUUUCAACAUAUGAGAAGGAAUUAAUUGCCCUUCUUUUAGCAGUUGAAAAAUGGAGACAUUACCUUCAACCCAGUCACUUUAUCAUCCGGACUGACCAUUUUAGUUUAAAAUUCCUCAAAGAUCAACGCAUCACUACAUCAUUACAACACAAAGGAGUGACAAAAUUGAUGGGCCUAAGCUAUAAAAUACACUACAGGCAAGGGAAAGAGAAUUUAGUAGCAGAUGCGUUGUCUCGAAGGAAGAGGAAACCAAAUGGGUUAACCAAGAAGCAAAAGCUUUGUGUUUGGGCCUAAGUGUGAUUCAACCCAAAUGGGUACAAGAAGUGAUAGAAAGAUAUGAAGGUGAUCAAGAGGCUCAAGAACUAAUCACAAAGCUCAGCUUAGACUCCAAGGCAGUACAAGAUGUGUCACUACAGUCAGGACUGCUAAGGUUCCAAGGAAAAUUAUGGGUAGGAAAACAGUUAGGCCUCAGGCAAAAUUGAUUCAUGAUAUGCAUUCAACCUCAUGGGGAGGGCACUCUGGAAUUCAUGCCACAUAUCAAAGACUUAAGGCACAUUUUUACUGGCCAAAGAUGAUUAAAGAUGUGAAAAUAAUGGUACAAGAAUGUGAAGUCUGCCAAAGGAACAAAGAUGAGAGUGUAGCCUACCUUGGAUUGCUACACCCUUUACCUAUUCUGGAAAGAGCUUGGGAACACAUUUCCAUGGAUUUCAUUGAGGAAUUACCUAAAUCACAAGGAAAUGAAGUCAUUCUAAUGGUGAUUGAUAGGUUGACAAAAUAUGCGCAUUUCAUUGCAUUAGCUCAUCUGUAUAAUGCUACUCAAGUUGCUCAAUUAUUCCUUGAUCAUGUAUGCAAAUUACAUGGAGUUCCGUCCUCAAUUAUUUCCGACAGAGACCCAAUUUUUGUGAGCCUAUUUUGGCAAGAACUUUUCAAAAACCUACAGGUUCAGUUGAAAUUGAGCUCGGCAUAUCAUCCCCAAACCGAUGGUCAGACAGAAAGGUUGAAUCGAUGUUUGGAGUCUUACCUCUGAUGCAUGACUGGGCAAAGGCCUAAGGAAUGGGGCAAAUGGUUAUCUCUUGCAGAAUUUUGGUACAACAUGAGUAAUUAGUCCGCAAUCAAUAUGACUCCUUUCAAGGCUCUAUACGGGUAUGAUCCACCUCAGCCAACCUUCGAGCUAAUUGCACAAUCCAAGGUUGAAUUCGUGGAUCAAUUGCUGAAAGAAAGACAGAUAAUAAGCAAACAGCUGAGGGAAAAUCUGAUUAAGGCUCAGGCACGAAUGAAGCAAUACGCAUAUAGCAAAAUAAGUGAGCGCACCUUUGAAGUAGGCGAUUUAGUCUUCAUCAAAUUACAGCCUUAUCGCCAAUCUUCAGUGAUUGUGAGAAAGAACCUAAAGUUGUCCUCCAAGUUUUUUGGUCCCUAUCCUAUUAUCAAAAAGAUUAGUUCUGUGGCGUAUGAGCUCCAAUUACCUGUCGAGUCUCGAAUCUACCCAAUUUUUCAUGUUUCUCAACUGAAGAAGAAAUUGGGUCCAAAAGAUUUUUCUAUAAAGGAACCACCUUUGAGCACACCUGAAGGUCAGUUAGUGGCAGAACCAGUGGCUAUAUUAACCGAAGAAUGGUGAAGAGGAACAAUCAAGCUGUUACGCAAAUCUUGGUGCAAUGGGCCAAUCUAGCUCCAGAGGAUGCAACUUGGGAGGAUUAUUCAUUUAUUAGUUCCCAAUUCCCCGAAUUUCAACUUUGAAGAUCAAGAUUCUCGAAGGAAGGUGGGAUGUUGUGGAACGGGAUAGUUCAGAAAAUGAAAUUGGGAAACUUGGUUACUGAUCAGAGAGGCUAAUUGCAAAAUAGUUUAGUAUAUUAGCACUUAAGUCCCUUGAGUUUUAUUUGUUUAGAGUUUUAUCCUAGUAGUGUAGCUUUCAUCUUUAAAAGACACGUGUCCAUUCUUAUCCCUUUGUAUCCGUUAGCAUAGUACCACCUCUGUUCAUUUCUCAUUGGUUGUCCAGGUGGUCACAGCUGUAGGACCCUUACCUUAUUUAGCCCAGCAGCAUCCUUGUA
rnacentral:lncRNA from 1 species